UACGGAGGGGGCAAGCGUUGUCCGGAAUCAUUGGGCGUAAAGAGCGUGUAGGCGGCCAGGUAGGUCUGCUGUGAAAACUCGAGGCUUAACCUCGAGAUGUCGGCGGAAACCAUCUGGCUAGAGUCCGGAAGAGGAGAGUGGAAUUCCUGGUGUAGCGGUGAAAUGCGCAGAUAUCAGGAGGAACACCAAUUGCGAAGGCAGCUCGCUGGGACGUAACUGACGCUGAGACGCGAAAGCGUGGGGAGCAAACAGG
rnacentral:rRNA from 1 species